rnacentral:ncRNA from 1 species
GAAGGGUGUUGAUAUUUUCUUGAAAAGUGUUGAAAGACAGGGGGAAAGCGGACACGAUGUCCGCGUCAGCCGAUUCGCGCCAUGGAGGGCGCGUGUAGGCGACCCCGUAAUGAUGAGAACUGUUUAUCACUUUUCGUAGAAAAUUCAC